GGCCGGUUAGCUCACUCAGUUAGAGCGUGGUGCUGAUAACACUAAUGUCGUGGGUUCGAUUCCCAUUUGGUCCC
rnacentral:tRNA from 1 species